CCUACGGGGGGCUGCAGUGGGGAAUUUUGGACAAUGGGCGCAAGCCUGAUCCAGCCAUUCCGCGUGCAGGAUGAAGGCCUUCGGGUUGUAAACUGCUUUUGUACGGAACGAAACGGCGAGCUCUAAUACAGUUUGCUAAUGACGGUACCGUAAGAAUAAGCACCGGCUAACUACGUGCCAGCAGCCGCGGUAAUACGUAGGGUGCAAGCGUUAAUCGGAAUUACUGGGCGUAAAGCGUGCGCAGGCGGUUAUAUAAGACAGAUGUGAAAUCCCCGGGCUCAACCUGGGAACUGCAUUUGUGACUGUAUGGCUAGAGUACGGCAGAGGGGGAUGGAAUUCCGCGUGUAGCAGUGAAAUGCGUAGAUAUGCGGAGGAACACCGAUGGCGAAGGCAAUCCCCUGGGCCUGUACUGACGCUCAUGCACGAAAGCGUGGGGAGCAAACAGGAUUAGAUACCCCAGUAGUC
rnacentral:rRNA from 1 species